AUUGAACGCUGGCGGCAUGCCUUACACAUGCAAGUCGAACGGUAACAGGUCUUCGGAUGCUGACGAGUGGCGAACGGGUGAGUAAUACAUCGGAACGUGCCCGAUCGUGGGGGAUAACGAGGCGAAAGCUUUGCUAAUACCGCAUACGAUCUACGGAUGAAAGCGGGGGAUCUUCGGACCUCGCGCGGACGGAGCGGCCGAUGGCAGAUUAGGUAGUUGGUGGGAUAAAAGCUUACCAAGCCGACGAUCUGUAGCUGGUCUGAGAGGAUGAUCAGCCACACUGGGACUGAGACACGGCCCAGACUCCUACGGGAGGCAGCAGUGGGGAAUUUUGGACAAUGGGCGAAAGCCUGAUCCAGCCAUGCCGCGUGCAGGAUGAGGCCUUCGGGUUGUAAACUGCUUUUGUACGGAACGAAAAGCCUCUUUCUAAUAAAGAGGGGUCAUGACGGUACCGUAAGAAUAAGCACCGGCUAACUACGUG
rnacentral:rRNA from 1 species